UAUAAUCAUGUUUAUAAUUUUCAAAACUGCAAGAUAUUCAAAUCACGAUACUGCUUGGAACCAUCUUGAAAACCUUAAAGAAUGUACUGAAAACAGUCCUUUGACUAUUAGGUCUUAGGGUUCUGGAUUUCUUAAUCUUAA